CGAGUGAAGCGGCAAGAGCUCAGAUUUGGAAUCGUGUUUCGGCACGAGUUGUAAAUUGCAGGUUGGAGUCUUUGUGGAAGCGUGUGUCCAAGUCCCUUGGAACAGGGCGCCAUUGAGGGUGAGAGCCCCGUGGGAUGCGCGCGGAAGCAACAAGGCCCUUCUGACGAGUCGAGUUGUUUGGGAAUGCAGCUCUAAGCGGGUGGUAAAUUCCAUCUAAGGCUAAAUACUGGCGAGAGACCGAUAGCGAACAAGUACUGUGAAGGAAAGAUGAAAAGCACUUUGAAAAGAGAGUGAAACAGCACGUGAAAUUGUUGAAAGGGAAGGGUAUUGGGCCCGACAUGGGGAUUGCGCAUCUCUGCUCCUUGUGGGCGGGGCGCUGUGCUUUUCCUGGGCCAGCAUCGGUUUUUGCCGCAGGAGAAGGGGUACUGGAAUGUGGCUCCUCGGAGUGUUAUAGCCAGUGCCAGAUGCUGCGUGCGGGGACCGAGGGCUGCGACAUCUGUCUCGGAUGCUGGCACAACGGCGCAAUACCGCCCGUCUUGA
rnacentral:rRNA from 1 species